ACAAACCGAAACCACUUUGUCGCCGGGAACUACGAACGCCGCGAACCACCGUCCACCACCACCGGAGCCGCCGUCUGCAACCACCGCACCACCACCUUCACCGUCGUCCGCCCGGGUAAUUCUCUUGUGCACACUCUUGGGAAAUCCUUGAUUCUUAAUCUUAUUCCAAGAAAUACGCAACGCACUCUAAGGAUGAGGAAGUCAAGAUUGGAAGAAAUAAAUAGGAUGGCUUAGAAACCCACCUAGAAAUAAAUCAUGUUUUAUGUUUGUAUUUUCUCUUUAUGACAUUUUUUGUACGUCUCAUCCCGAUGUUUCCGCCAUCGGUUGGGGUGUGA
rnacentral:lncRNA from 1 species